rnacentral:rRNA from 1 species
ACGGGUGAGUAACGCGUGAGAAUCUGCCCUCAGGAGGGGGAUAACGGCUGGAAACGGCCGCUAAUACCCCAUAUGCCGAGAGGUGAAAUGAAUUUCGCCUGAGGAUGAGCUCGCGUCUGAUUAGCUAGUUGGUAAGGUAAGAGCUUACCAAGGCAUCGAUCAGUAGCUGGUCUGAGAGGAUGAUCAGCCACACUGGGACUGAGACACGGCCCAGACUCCUACGGGAGGCAGCAGUGGGGAAUUUUCCGCAAUGGGCGAAAGCCUGACGGAGCAACGCCGCGUGAGGGAUGAAGGCCUCUGGGCUGUAAACCUCUUUUCUCAAGGAAGAAGACAUGACGGUACUUGAGGAAUAAGCCACGGCUAAUUCCGUGCCAGCAGCCGCGGUAAUACGGGAGUGGCAAGCGUUAUCCGGAAUUAUUGGGCGUAAAGCGUCCGCAGGCGGCCUUUUAAGUCUGUUGUUAAAGCGUGGAGCUCAACUCCAUUUCGGCAAUGGAAACUGGAAGGCUGGAGUGUGGUAGGGGCAGAGGGAAUUCCCGGUGUAGCGGUGAAAUGCGUAGAUAUCGGGAAGAACACCAGUGGCGAAGGCGCUCUGCUGGGCCAUAACUGACGCUCAUGGACGAAAGCCAGGGGAGCGAAAGGGAUUAGAUACCCCUGUAGUCCUGGCCGUAAACGAUGAACACUAGGUGUCGGGGGAAUCGACCCCCUCGGUGUCGUAGCCAACGCGUUAAGUGUUCCGCCUGGGGAGUACGCACGCAAGUGUGAAACUCAAAGGAAUUGACGGGGGCCCGCACAAGCGGUGGAGUAUGUGGUUUAAUUCGAUGCAACGCGAAGAACCUUACCAGGGUUUGACAUCCUGCGAAUCUUUUGGAAACAGAAGAGUGCCUUCGGGAGCGCAGAGACAGGUGGUGCAUGGCUGUCGUCAGCUCGUGUCGUGAGAUGUUGGGUUAAGUCCCGCAACGAGCGCAACCCACGUCUUUAGUUGCCAGCAUUUAGUUGGGCACUCUAGAGAGACCGCCGGUGAUAAACCGGAGGAAGGUGUGGAUGACGUCAAGUCAUCAUGCCCCUUACAUCCUGGGCUACACACGUACUACAAUGCUACGGACAAAGGGCAGCAAACUCGCGAGAGCUAGCAAAUCCCAUAAACCGUGGCUCAGUUCAGAUCGUAGGCUGCAACUCGCCUACGUGAAGGAGGAAUCGCUAGUAAUCGCAGGUCAGCAUACUGCGGUGAAUACGUUCCCGGGCCUUGUACACACCGCCCGUCACACCAUGGAAGUUGGCCACGCCCGAAGCC